GUGCUCACUUCAGCAGCACAUAUACUAACAUUGGAGCGACACAGAGAAGAUUAAGAUGAGCGUGGCUCCUGUGCAGGGAUGACAGGCAAAUUCAUGAAGUGUUCCAUAUUAAA
ensembl:snRNA U6 U6 spliceosomal RNA